CGAUUUCUUUCUCUCAUUCCCCUUUUUGAUUUUUUCUUUUUCUUGUUCGCGCGAUAUUUCUCCUAUACCCGUUAAGCUCUCUCACAUCAGAUCGGAAACGACUUCCCGUCCGAUCGCCCAGCUUUUAGCCGUGUGAAAAUUUCAUUUCUCUCCCAUUCUUCCAUUGUCUUGCCGGUUUUGUGUCAUCGUUUGUUGUUCGAUUCUGUUUAAAAACUCCCAAGGGCAGUUACUGAUUCUGAUUCUCUAUUGUUGGCGGUCGCACGAUUCGAUUGAAGAACUUCCGAGAGCUGUCACCGUCGAUCUCCAAAUUGACACCACUCUCUGGUUGGCCCGGGUCCACGAUCGCCAUCCUUGAUCGUCCUCCGUAGUGGCUGGUGGUCUUUGUUCACCGGUGAAAUUAGAAUUAAAUAUUUGCUAGGUUCCGACGGACAGAGAGCAAAGUAGUUUGAUAUUAUAUAUCAUUUGUUCGUAUGAAGGUGAGCAUCAUGUAAUUGGUGUAGAAGAUGGCACAAUGUUGGCGGAUCUUUACAUGAAUCUAUCAAAAAAAGGGAAUAAGAAAUAUCAUGCGAAAGUGACUAUUCUUCAUCCACUACAAAAAAUCCAGAACAAAUUUACCAUGAAGCUAAUAUCUUAAUUGCAGCUGCAGAAGUACCCAAUUUGGUCUGUGGCUCAAUUGUCGUAGAUAUUUAAAGAUGUAAUUAGGAUGUCCGUCAAUCAUUUUCUUGUAAUUACUUUUG